CCUACGGGAGGCAGCAGUGGGGAAUAUUGGACAAUGGGCGAAAGCCUGACCCAGCAACGCCGCGUGAAGGAAGAAGGCUUUCGGGUUGUAAACUUCUUUUAUUAGGGACGAAACAAAUGGCUGUACCUCAUGAAUAAGCCACCGCUAACUACGUGCCAGCAGCCGCGAUAAUACGGAGGUGGCACGCUGUCUCCGGAUGUACUGGGUGUAAAGGGAGUGUAGGCGGGACGGCAAGUCAGAUGUGAAAAUUAGGGGCUCAACCAAUAGACUGCAGUUGAAACUGUAGGUCUUGAGUGAUGGAGAGGCAGGCGGAAUUCCGGGUGUAGCGGUGAAAUGCGUAGAUAUCAGGAGGAACACCAGUGGCGAAGGCGGCCUGCUGGACAGUAACUGACGUUGAGGCGCGAAAGCGUGGGGAGCAAACAGGAUUAGAUACCCUGGUAGUC
rnacentral:rRNA from 1 species